GUCUGAAAGACUCCCCAGGAAUGAAGCUUACCUUCUGUACUACAUAACGAAGAUUUAUAUUAGUAUAUUUUCUGUCAUGCUUUUUAAAGUGCCAGGUUGUUGUGAUGGGACAGGUCAGUUUCACUUCUGCUCUGUGGUCAGGUUAUAGUGUGUGAUGAGACUGUUGGGGAAGAGGCUCAUUGUAGACACACAAAUUACACUUUAGACUUGUCUGUGUGUGGCUAGGAGGCCUUUUGUAAUGUAACUGAAUGUGACGACGGUCCAAAAUGGCCAAAUAAACGGAUCAUUUCUAGACUUCCCUGUGUGGCCAGUAGGAGCCAAAAUGACCGGUCCAGUUUCCUGACUUCCCUCUGGUUAGGUUACAGUAGAGUGAGGCUGAAUGUAAGGAGCCAAAAUGGCAGAAUGACCGGUCCAGUUUCCUG
rnacentral:lncRNA from 13 species